GAUCCCUUCGGGGUGACGCUUAGUGGAAUGAGCGGCGGACGGGUGAGUAACACGUGGGCAACCUACCUAUAAGACUGGGAUAACUCGUGGAAACAUGGGCUAAUACCGGAUAACCAGUGUGUUCGCAUGAACACACUUUAAAAGGCGGCUUUUAGCUGUCACUUAUAGAUGGGCCCGCGGCGCAUUAGCUAGUUGGUGAGGUAACGGCUCACCAAGGCCACGAUGCGUAGCCGACCUGAGAGGGUGAUCGGCCACACUGGGACUGAGACACGGCCCAGACUCCUACGGGAGGCAGCAGUAGGGAAUCUUCCGCAAUGGACGAAAGUCUGACGGAGCAACGCCGCGUGAACGAUGAAGGUUUUCGGAUCGUAAAGUUCUGUUGUUAGGGAAGAACACGUACCGUUCAAAUAGGGCGGUACCUUGACGGUACCUAACGAGAAAGCCCCGGCUAACUACGUGCCAGCAGCCGCGGUAAUACGUAGGGGGCAAGCGUUGUCCGGAAUUAUUGGGCGUAAAGCGCGCGCAGGCGGUCUUUUAAGUCUGAUGUGAAAUCUUGCGGCUCAACCGCAAGCGGUCAUUGGAAACUGGGAGACUUGAGUAC
rnacentral:rRNA from 1 species